CCUACGGGAGGCUGCAGUGGGGAAUAUUGGGCAAUGGGCGCAAGCCUGACCCAGCAACGCCGCGUGAAGGAAGAAGGCUCUCGGGUUGUAAACUUCUUUUGUCAGGGACGAAGCAAGUGACGGUACCUGACGAAUAAGCCACGGCUAACUACGUGCCAGCAGCAGCGGUAAUCCGUAGGUGGCAAGCGUUAUCCGGAUUUAUUGGGUGUAAAGGGCGGGUGGGCGGGAAGGCAAGUCAGAUGUGAAAACUAUGGGCUCAACCCAUAGCCUGCAUUUGAAACUGUAUUUCUUGAGUGCUGGAGAGGCAAUCGGAAUGCCGUGUGUAGCGGUGAAAUGCGUAGAUAUACGGAGGAACACCGGUGGCGAAGGCGGAUUGCUGGACAGUAACUGACGCUGAGGCGCGAAAGCGUGGGGAGCGAACAGGAUUAGAUACCCCAGUAGUC
rnacentral:rRNA from 1 species